AUUGAACGCUGGCGGCAGGCCUAACACAUGCAAGUCGAGCGGAUAAAGGGAGCUUGCUCCUGGAUUCAGCGGCGGACGGGUGAGUAAUGCCUAGGAAUCUGCCUGGUAGUGGGGGAUAACGUCCGGAAACGGGCGCUAAUACCGCAUACGUCCUGAGGGAGAAAGUGGGGGAUCUUCGGACCUCACGCUAUCAGAUGAGCCUAGGUCGGAUUAGCUAGUUGGUGGGGUAAGGGCCUACCAAGGCGACGAUCCGUAACUGGUCUGAGAGGAUGAUCAGUCACACUGGAACUGAGACACGGUCCAGACUCCUACGGGAGGCAGCAGUGGGGAAUAUUGGACAAUGGGCGAAAGCCUGAUCCAGCCAUGCCGCGUGUGUGAAGAAGGUCUUCGGAUUGUAAAGCACUUUAAGUUGGGAGGAAGGGCAGUAAGUUAAUACCUUGCUGUUUUGACGUUACCAACAGAAUAAGCACCGGCUAACUUCGUG
rnacentral:rRNA from 1 species